rnacentral:rRNA from 1 species
CCUACGGGUGGCUGCAGUGGGGAAUAUUGCACAAUGGGCGCAAGCCUGAUGCAGCCAUGCCGCGUGUGUGAAGAAGGCCUUCGGGUUGUAAAGCACUUUCAGCGGGGAGGAAGGCGUUAAGGUUAAUAACCUUGGCGAUUGACGUUACCCGCAGAAGAAGCACCGGCUAACUCCGUGCCAGCAGCCGCGGUAAUACGGAGGGUGCAAGCGUUAAUCGGAAUUACUGGGCGUAAAGCGCACGCAGGCGGUCUGUCAAGUCGGAUGUGAAAUCCCCGGGCUCAACCUGGGAACUGCAUUCGAAACUGGCAGGCUAGAGUCUUGUAGAGGGGGGUAGAAUUCCAGGUGUAGCGGUGAAAUGCGUAGAGAUCUGGAGGAAUACCGGUGGCGAAGGCGGCUCUCUGGCCUGUAACUGACGCUGAGGCGCGAAAGCGUGGGGAGCGAACAGGAUUAGAUACCCGUGUAGUC